AAUGCGUAGAGAUGUGGAGGAACACCAGUGGCGAAGGCGACUCUCUGGUUUUUAACUGACGCUGAGGCGCGAAAGCGUGGGGAGCGAACAGGAUUAGAUACCUUGGUAGUCCACGCCGUAAAGGAUGAGUGCUAAGUGUUAGAGGGUUUCCGCCCUUUAGUGCUGCAGCAAAUGCAUUAAGCAAUCCGCCUGGGGAGUACGGUCGCAAUACUGAAACUCAAAGGAAUCCACGGGGGCCCCCACAAGCGGUGGAGCAUGUGGUUUAAUUGGAAGCAACGGGAAGACCCUUACCAGGUCUUGCCUUCCUCAGACAACCUUAGAGAUAGGGCUUGCCCUUCGGGGGCAGAGUGACAGGUGGUGCAUGGUUGUUGUCAGCUCGUGUCGUGAGAUGUUGGGUUAAGUCCCGCAACGAGCGCAACCCUUGAUCUUAGUUGCCAGCAUUCAGUUGGGCACUCUAAGGUGACUGCCGGUGACAAACCGGAGGAAGGUGGGGAUGACGUCAAAUCAUCAUGCCCCUUAUGACCUGGGCUACACACGUGCUACAAUGGGCAGAACAAAGGGCAGCGAAGCCGUGAGGCUAAGCCAAUCCCACAAAUCUGUUC
rnacentral:rRNA from 1 species